UACGUAGGGGGCGAGCGUUGUCCGGAUUUAUUGGGCGUAAAGAGCUCGUAGGCGGUUCGAUAAGUCGGACGUGAAAUCUCCACGCUCAACGUGGAGGGGCCGUUCGAUACUGUCGUGACUCGAGUCCGGUAGGGGAGUGUGGAAUUCCCGGUGUAGCGGUGAAAUGCGCAGAGAUCGGGAGGAACACCCGUAGCGAAGGCGGCACUCUGGGCCGGUACUGGACGCUGAGGAGCGAAAGCGUGGGGAGCAAAGCAGG
rnacentral:rRNA from 1 species